AACUGAAGAGUUUGAUCAUGGCUCAGAUUGAACGCUGGCGGCAGGCUUAACACAUGCAAGUCGAGCGGGGGAAGGUAGCUUGCUACUGGACCUAGCGGCGGACGGGUGAGUAAUGCUUAGGAAUCUGCCUAUUAGUGGGGGACAACAUCUCGAAAGGGAUGCUAAUACCGCAUACGUCCUACGGGAGAAAGCAGGGGAUCUUCGGACCUUGCGCUAAUAGAUGAGCCUAAGUCGGAUUAGCUAGUUGGUGGGGUAAAGGCCUAC
rnacentral:rRNA from 1 species